rnacentral:rRNA from 1 species
AAACCGGUUGAUCCUGCCGGACCUCACUGCUCUCGGGAUGAGACUUAGGCAUGGGUGUCGCGCGGCCUCUAGCCACCGUGAGGCAGCGGCGAACGGCUCAGUAACACGUAGCUAACCUGCCCAAGGGACGGGAACAACCCCGGGAAACUGGGGCUAAUGCCCGAUAGGCGAGAUGCCCUGGAACCGGGCUCUCACCCAAAGGCGGAGGGGACGAUGCAUCUCUCCGUGCCCUUGGAUGGGGCUGCGGCCGAUCAGGUUGUUGGCGGGGUAACGGCCCACCAAGCCUAAAACCGGUACGGGCCCUGGGAGGGGUAGCCCGGAGAUGGGAACUGAGACAAGGUCCUAGGCCCUACGGGGCGCACCAGCUACGAAAAUUCCACAAUGCGCGAAAGCGUGAUGGAGUUAUCCCGAGUGCCACCUGCUGAGGG